rnacentral:rRNA from 1 species
AUUGAACGCUGGCGGCAGGCCUAACACAUGCAAGUCGAACGGUAACAGGAAGCAGCUUGCUGCUUCGCUGACGAGUGGCGGACGGGUGAGUAAUGUCUGGGAAACUGCCUGAUGGAGGGGGAUAACUACUGGAAACGGUAGCUAAUACCGCAUAACGUCGCAAGACCAAAGAGGGGGACCUUAGGGCCUCUUGCCAUCGGAUGUGCCCAGAUGGGAUUAGCUAGUAGGUGGGGUAACGGCUCACCUAGGCGACGAUCCCUAGCUGGUCUGAGAGGAUGACCAGCCACACUGGAACUGAGACACGGUCCAGACUCCUACGGGAGGCAGCAGUGGGGAAUAUUGCACAAUGGGCGCAAGCCUGAUGCAGCCAUGCCGCGUAUAUGAAGAAGGCCUUCGGGUUGUAAAGUACUUUCAGCGGGGAGGAAGGGAGUAAAGUUAAUACCUUUGCUCAUUGACGUUACCCGCAGAAGAAGCACCGGCUAACUCCGUG